GAAUUUUGGACAAUGGGCGCAAGCCUGAUCCAGCCAUGCCGCGUGAGUGAAGAAGGCCUUCGGGUUGUAAAGCACUUUCGUCAGGGAAGAAAAGGUUCUGGCUAAUACCCGGAACUGAUGAUGGUACCUGAAGAAUAAGCACCGGCUAACUACGUGCCAGCAGCCGCGGUAAUACGUAGGGUGCAAGCGUUAAUCGGAAUUACUGGGCGGAAAGCGUGCGCAGGCGGUUUUGGAAGACAGUGGUGAAAUCCCCGGGCUCAACCUGGGAACUGCCAUUGUGACUGCAAGGCUGGAGUGCGGCAGAGGGGGAUGGAAUUCCGCGUGUAGCAGUGAAAUGCGUAGAGAUGUGGAGGAACACCGAUGGCGAAGGCAGCCCCCUGGGCCGAUACUGACGCUCAUGCACGAAAGCGUGGGUAGCAAACAGG
rnacentral:rRNA from 1 species